CAGCCGAGCACCGUAGCGGGUGCCUGUUGCUCCAGCUUGGGAGGGCUAAAGAGUUGGUUGGAGGGCGAGUUUGCUCGAGCCCAUGUCAAUGCCGGCCCACCGAAAGGCAUGUGGUGCGCAGUCCCCGCCCGGACGUCAGAGAAAAAGGUGCCAGCGCGGCGCAGAGAAAAGAAGAAACAGAGCCCACAGCUGCUGUUGUUGUGAGGUGCUGCGGGUCCUGGGCCCGGCGCCAAGGUGCGCUGUCCGUCGUUGUUGGGUGCAGCCCUGUGUAGGCCACAAGGAGUUGUGAGCCGGGCUGACCUGUGUUGAAGAGGCCCGUUAGGAAGAACGGGUGCUCUUGUUGGGCCGUUGUCACUGCGAGGAGGCAGUCCGGCCGGUCGACGAGAAAAGCACUUGGGCCGUUGUUGAAGGAGGCAGACCAAGACCACAUCAGAGGUGUUGGUGGUGCGCGCGCGCGCACGUAGUUGGGCCAUCGCCGGAGGGGGAUAUUGCCCUCCGGCGGGUCGUCGCUGUGGUAAAAAGUUGUUCGAUGCUCUGGGGGGAUUCGUCGUGGGCUGCUGAAUAGGGGGUGUGGCAUUGGCCCGGGAGGCCGGCAAAUGCCGGCGGGUUAAUUGGGUCCGGGGGUUCGCCCCUCGGCCCGAAGCCCCUUGAUCUCGCCGAGCUGGGCUUCCACGGAGUUAGAGCGGCAAAGGGGUUGAGCCAACCCUCAGUCCGAGGGUUGUCGCCGGGCUGUGCGCGCCACACGCGCAGCCCGCUUCGUGGAGCGUGGGCUCGCAAACUAUAUCCCCUCCUACCAACUCUUUUGUUCUUCUGUUUUUUUUUUCUGAAAAGGAUAUAAUUCUGAACAGUGGCUUCUAUUUUCUUUGGUACUGCUUUGUACUGUAUGUGAAUUAGAUCACUAUUGGUUUACAAUAAACAAGUUAGUACUCCUUCAAAAGAGGCUGAUCAUUGCCGUUGAUGGGCCGGCCUCAUCAGCAAUAGCUGGCGGGGGUCCUGUGUUUGUUGGCCGUUGUGACAUGGUGCAUAACUAGUUUGUUGCAGUGCAAGUACGAACCAUGCGGACAGCCGAGAAGCGAGAGCUUCAUCAGGUGCCACUAGUGUCUGAUGGCAUUAAGGGGUUGGUGCGAUAAUCUCCCAUUUCACCAAGUUAGGUACGAUAAUGUCUCAUUUCACCAAGUUAAAUAAAAUAUAUAAAAUUUUAGCUAAGAAAUACACUUAUAACUGAAUUGACACUAGCUAAGCUAUGACAGUUGCAGGCAUUGGUAAGCUACCGUAGUUCUAUCGAGUCCUCUUCUCUGUUCAGCCUCCAAGCCACAUUUUUGGUCGUAUAUAUACAGUCAGUAUAUGUACUGUCAGUGCACAACAGCCAGUAGGCAGGUACAAAAAGAGCCGUGAGCGACAUGCCCACAAGAAGAUUAGCGAAAGCGCGCGCAGACUAAAUGCAUUCUCGCACUCUGUCUCUGCAAACCAAGCGCUCCGUUUUAGUCCCAUACCGCUAGUCACAUUCUGAGCAACCCAGCUUAAGAAGCCACACCUCCCCGGGGGCAGCCGCCGAGCUCGGUCGCGCGAGCCUGUCACUCUAGUCAGCUGGAGGGCUAAAGAGUUGGUGUGGUGAAAUGGCUCUGGCCCCGGCCCAAAAACGGGUUCGGCCUCUGCCUGGGUUGUGAGUUCUUGAGCCUAGGAAAUUGGCGAGGUCCAUCCGUCCUUUGAACGGUAGGGCAAAGCCGAAUCGUUGGACGCUUCGGCAUAAGAGAACGGUCGGCCCAACGGGGUUGCCGGAGCCCAAGCUGCGUCUCGUCAUGUGUCCAUCCGGGUGGUCAAGGGAGGCAACAACCCACUCCCUGAUCUUUCCCAUUAAGGUAAUCGGGACUCGCAUGGACACUCCCUGGCUCACUCACUAACCCCUCCCAUCAACUCUUUUCC
rnacentral:lncRNA from 1 species